rnacentral:sRNA from 1 species
GCCGGGCGUGGUGGCACACGCCUGUAAUCCCAGCUACUCGGGAGGCUGAGGCAUGAGAAUUGCUUGAACCCAGGAGGCUGAGGUUGCAGUGAGCCGAGAUUGCGCCACUGCACUCCAGCCUGGGCAACAGAGCGAGACUCUGUCUUAA